GGCUUCAUGGUCUAGUGGUAUGAUUCCUGCUUUGGGAUUAGUGUCCUAACUUGCAGGAGGCCCCGCGUUCGAAUCGCGGUGGAGCCC
rnacentral:tRNA from 1 species